ACUUAUGGCCAUACCACCCUGAGCGCGCCCAAUCUCAUCUGAUCUCUGAAGCUAAGCAGGAUCGGGCCUGGUAAGUACUUGGAUGGGAGACCACCUGGGAAUACCAGGUGCUGUAAGCU
ensembl:rRNA 5S_rRNA 5S ribosomal RNA